AAUUCAUGCUGUAGAUAUACAUCGUGAAGCUAUCAAGUUAACCGUAUUUUUAUCGGACAAUUUUCAAAAAUCGCACCUUCUUGUGAUAUCAAUUGAUGUGAUUUGUUUAAGCCUUAAUCUUUAUGCAAUUGCCGUGUAUGCAUCAAAGGGAGACAAUUUUGGACAAUUAUUAAUGCAUUUUUUAAUUGCAAUUG